rnacentral:miRNA from 1 species
AAUGCAUUCUUUGGGCUGCCUCCG